AACGCGAAGAACCUUACCUGGGCUUGAACCGCACAGGACCAGCUUUAGAAAUAGAGCCUUCCCGCAAGGGACCUGUGUAGAGGUGCUGCAUGGCUGUCGUCAGCUCGUGCCGUGAGGUGUUGGGUUAAGUCCCGCAACGAGCGCAACCCUUACUCGUAGUUGCCACCCGCAAGGGGGAACUCUACGAGGACUGCUCCGGAUAACGGAGAGGAAGGUGGGGAUGAGGUCAAGUCAGCAUGGCCUUUAUGUCCAGGGCUACACACGUGUUACAAUGCGCGCUACAAAGUGUCGCGAACCCGCGAGGGGGAGCUAAUCGCAAAAAAGCGCGCUCAGUUCGGAUUGCAGUCUGCAACUCGACUGCAUGAAGCUGGAAUCGCUAGUAAUGGCGCAUCAGAUCGGCGCCGUGAAUACGUUCCCGGGCCUUGUA
rnacentral:rRNA from 1 species